rnacentral:sRNA from 1 species
ACUUCACCGCGUUAGGGAUAGAACGGCAUGUUUGAAAUCCUUUUUGUUUUCCUUAAAAAAACAAAAAGAUUGAGUAGUGAUAGCUCGACCCUUU